ensembl:lncRNA
UGCUUCAUUACACAUGAGCAAAAUGAUACAAGGGGAUAAAAUUUAAACUCAAUUUUCUUAGUGGCUUACCACUAAUGGAGCAAAAAAUGUAAACCGUAAGCAACAUUUAUAGUCUUGUUUGUGUACAUCUAAAGAAUGUGUUCUAAUGUGCUCUUUUUUUUCUCUCCACUAACUUCAGAGGGAAAUAUCGGGUUUGUCUUUUUGUAUGCAAAAUAUUCAGCACACCAAGUUUGUCUCCCUGCCCUUUGAUGCUGUGGAGGUUGUGUGCUGUCAGUUUACUGGCGCUGUUUGGCUGAAAAGGCUGCCUGCUGCACUACAAGAGAAGAUGCACUGAGAAGUAAAGGAACCUAAAAGAAGGAACUGUGCAGUUUGAUAGUAUCAUUUUCUGCAUCACUUCAGCUGAUCUGAAGGCAGGGCUGUGCGCAUGAGUAAAUACUGCAAUCUGGUCAUCAGACGGAGGGGAACUUGCAUCCCCCACCCUAACCCUCCUUCCAGGAAGCAGCCAUGUAAAUACUCUGCAGUAUGAUCGUCUGACAUGUAACAUGAAACAUGCCGGCUGUAACUUGGAGGGCAAACGGAUCGUGUUUGCAGGCACUGGCGGCAGAUGCAAUAUUUCUAAAAAUGAAACUUAAGAUACAAUUUCAUAUUUCAUUCCACAAACAGCCCUGAGAGAAUUCUGUCUUGUCUUUCAGGGUGGAGCAUUACUCCCUGCCAGCCUUCAAACAGUAUCAAAAACCUGAUUUCUUCCCAGGUCGCAAAUUAUCCAGAGGCCCCGGAAUGCAGAUGCAAAAGCCAAGGUAUGUUAUUUUAAUUUAUUUCCUGUGUUACGGCAACCCAGAGGGAAAUCACAAGAGCUGAGACAGAAGCUGUGCUACUCUAUCUUUAACAGGUAACAGGAAAUUGGCCAUUCAGCACAUCAUCUACAGUAGCUGCUCCAGCCAGCCAACGGACUGAUGGAUGGCAAGUCACACUCGAGCUGCGACACCAUUGAUUUCCCUCUCAUACAACCUCGAGACUGCUGAUUCAAGAUAAUGUUACAUUUUUAAAGGCUUUGCUGUGAUAGUGGGGUCAUAAAUUCUGCAGAUGAAGCUGAUAAAUGAGCUGAAGCUACAUUGACAGGUCCAGGUUUUUCUUUCUCCUAGGUGUGUUCUGACACAGAGGCUAUGACAGGUGAAGGUGCUUAGUAAUCAGUGGAGACAGCGCAGGCAGGUGUUCUGAUCAUCAUCAACACUUCUCGAUAAAACCAGACAUCAUUCUUUGCUUGGAGUGGGACUUUCUUCACCUACUUGUGCCUCCUGGAUCCGCUGUCUGCUCUGUCCUGUCCGUUGGAGAGCAACUCACCUGUUGGAUUCCUGGGUUCCAUUCUUCUACUAGUCUGCUCUCCAUUCCUGCCUACAAAGCCAGCACCUGUCUCCUCACACCAGGAGCCGUUAGCCCCCAGCUCGCUUAACCCUGCCACUCCUACGCCUGCCUCUCCACCGUAGCCCUACAAUCUACACCUGCUGGGUCGUCACUACACUGGAAUGGUUGGAGCCAGUCCCCAAUCCCCAAUUUCAAUAAAAAAU